rnacentral:rRNA from 1 species
UACGAGGGGGCAAGCGUUGUUCGGAAUUAUUGGGCGUAAAGGGUGCGUAGGCGGCGCGGUAUGUCUCUUGUGAAAUCUCCAGGCUCAACUUGGAGUCUGCAAGGGGAAACUGCCGUGCUUGAGUACUGGAGAGGUGAGUGGAAUUCCCGGUGUAGCGGUGAAAUGCGUAGAUAUCGGGGAGGAACACCUGUGGCGAAAGCGGCUCACUGGACAGUAACUGACGCUGAU